UAGGGAAUCUUCGGCAAUGGACGAAAGUCUGACCGAGCAACGCCGCGUGAGUGAAGAAGGUUUUCGGAUCGUAAAACUCUGUUGUUAGAGAAGAACAAGGACGUUAGUAACUGAACGUCCCCUGACGGUAUCUAACCAGAAAGCCACGGCUAACUACGUGCCAGCAGCCGCGGUAAUACGUAGGUGGCAAGCGUUGUCCGGAUUUAUUGGGCGUAAAGCGAGCGCAGGCGGUUUCUUAAGUCUGAUGUGAAAGCCCCCGGCUCAACCGGGGAGGGUCAUUGGAAACUGGGAGACGUGAGUGCAGAAGAGGAGAGUGGAAUUCCAUGUGUAGCGGUGAAAUGCGUAGAUAUAUGGAGGAACACCAGUGGCGAAGGCGGCUCUCUGGUCUGUAACUGACGCUUAGGCUCGAAAGCGUGGGGAGCAAACAGG
rnacentral:rRNA from 1 species